CAGGCCUAACACAUGCAAGUCGAGCGCGCCUUCGGGUGAGCGGCGGACGGGUUAGUAACGCGUGGGAACGUGCCCUUUAGCUCAGGAUAGCCCUUGGAAACGAGGAGUAAUACUGGAUACGCCCUUCGGGGGAAUAAAGGAUCGGCCCGCGUUAGAUUAGGUAGUUGGUGGGGUAACGGCCUACCAAGCCUACGAUCUAUAGCUGGUUUGAGAGGAUGAUCAGCAACACUGGGACUGAGACACGGCCCAGACUCCUACGGGAGGCAGCAGUGGGGAAUCUUGGACAAUGGGGGCAACCCUGAUCCAGCCAUGCCGCGUGAGUGAAGAAGGCCCUAGGGUCGUAAAGCUCUUUCGCCUGUGAUGAUAAUGACAGUAGCAGGUAAAGAAACCCCGGCUAACUCCGUGCCAGCAGCCGCGGUAAUACGGAGGGGGUUAGCGUUGUUCGGAAUUACUGGGCGUAAAGCGCGCGUAGGCGGAUUGGAAAGUUAGAGGUGAAAUCCCGGGGCUCAACCCCGGAACUGCCUUUAAAACUCCCAGUCUUGAGUUCGAGAGAGGUGAGUGGAAUUCCGAGUGUAGAGGUGAAAUUCGUAGAUAUUCGGAGGAACGCCAGUGGCGAAGGCGGCUCACUGGCUCGAUACUGACGCUGAGG
rnacentral:rRNA from 1 species